rnacentral:rRNA from 1 species
AUUCCAGCUCCAAUAGCGUAUAUUUAAGUUGUUGCGGUUAAAAAGCUCGUAGUUGGAUUUCGGGCGUGGAGGUUCGGUCCGCCGUUUCGGUGUGCACUGUCUUUCUGCGUCUUUCUGUCGGGGACGCGCUUCUGGCCUUAAUUGGCUGGGACGUGGAUUCGACGAGGUUACUUUGAAAAAAUUAGAGUGUUCAAAGCAAGCUAAAGCUCUGAAUACAUUAGCAUGGAAUAACGCGAGAGGACUCGGUCCUUAUUUUGUUGGUCUUCAAGGAUGGAGUAAUGAUUAAUAGGGAUAGUUGGGGGCAUUAGUACUUUGCUGUCAGAGGUGAAAUUCUCGGAUUUGCAAAAGACUAACUUAUGCGAAAGCAUUUGCCAAGGAUGUUUUCAUCG